rnacentral:rRNA from 1 species
AACGUAGGAGACGAACGUUAUCCGGAGUUACUGGGCGUAAAGGGCUCGUAGGCGGUUUGUCGCGUCGGGAGUGAAAACCUCGGGCUUAACUCGGGGCUUGCUUUCGAUACGGGCAGACUAGAGGUAUGCAGGGGAGAACGGAAUUCCUGGUGUAGCGGUGAAAUGCGCAGAUAUCAGGAGGAACACCGGUGGCGAAGGCGGCUUCCUGGACCAGUACCGACGUUCAGGCACGAAAGCGUGGGGAGCAAACAGG